UACGGGGGAUGCGAGCGUUAUCCGGAUUUAUUGGGUUUAAAGGGUGCGUAGGCGGGCUUUUAAGUCAGCGGUAAAAAUUCGGGGCUCAACCCCGUCCGGCCGUUGAAACUGGGGGUCUUGAGUGGGCGAGAAGAAGGCGGAAUGCGUGGUGUAGCGGUGAAAUGCAUAGAUAUCACGCAGAACCCCGAUUGCGAAGGCAGCCUUCCGGCGCCCUACUGACGCUGAGGCACGAAAGUGCGGGGAUCGAACAGG
rnacentral:rRNA from 1 species